rnacentral:rRNA from 1 species
AGCUCCAAUAGCGUAUACCAAUUUUGUUGCGGUUAAAAAGCUCGUAGUUGGAUCUCGGCGAGUUGGGGGCGGUCCACUGCUUAGUGCGACUGCUCCAUGUACUCGUGUUCUUGGCGGAGGUUCCCGGGUGCUCUUAAUCGAGUGUCCUGGAGCGCCGUCAGGUUUACUUUGAAAAAAUUAGAGUGCUCCAGGCAGGCUUUGACGGCUUGAAUAUUCGUGCAUGGAAUAAUAGAAUAGGACGUCGUUUCUAUUUUGUUGGUUUUCGGAAAUUGACGUAAUGAUUAAUAGGGACAGUUGGGGGCAUUAGUAUUCAAACGACAGAGGUGAAAUUCUUGGACCGUUUGAAGACUAACUACUGCGAAAGCAUUUGCCAAGAAUGUUU